GUUCCGUUACCGUGUAGUUUCGCUGAGCCUUGUUCAGCUUCUUGGACAUGUAAGCUAACGGACGCUCGCAACCUGAGUCAUCACAUUGGGCUAAAACUGCACCUACCCCAUGAAGAGAUGCAUCGCAUUGAACUACAAAAGGCUUGUCGUAAUUGGGAUGAAUUAAAAAUGGAGCUGAGCAUAAUUUACUCUUGACAUUAUCAAACGCUGCUUGUGCCUUUUCAUUCCAUUCAUACGGCCUUCCACGGAGUAGUUCGGUGAGAGAAAAGAUAACAGAAGAGUAGUUGGGCAUAAAACGUUGAUACCACCCAGUCAUUCCUAGAAAUCUCCUUAGUUGCUUUUGAGUCUUCGGUAUCGGAAAUUCAUCCACGGCUCGCACUUUCUCUGAAUUAACUUGAAGCGUCCCCUCACCCACAAGAUACCCCAGGUAGUCCACCCGUUUCAGACAGAACUGACUCUUCUGCAUGUUUAUUGUCAGUCCGGCCUUGUGUAAUUGAAGAGCAACUUCCGAUAAAUGUAGCAAGUGGUCUUCAAAGUUGUUUGAAAGCACCAAUAAGUCAUCAAGAUAUACCAACACAUGAGAUUUGAGUUGAUACGGAAUUACAAUGUCCAUCAACCGAC
rnacentral:lncRNA from 1 species